AACAAUCUUCAGGGUUGGGUGCAAUUCCCUACCGGCAGUUAAAGUCUGCGAGCGCAAGCUGAAAAGGUGAAAUUCCUUUACCGACGGUAAAGUCCGGAUGAGAGAGGAUACAU
rfam:Anaerofustis stercorihominis DSM 17244 Scfld_02_4 genomic scaffold, whole genome shotgun sequence.